GAGAGAGAGCUACAAGGAGUCAGAAGAAGCAGAGUGAGGCUGAACUGGAAAAGACCUUAGAAGAAAGUAAGAGAAAAAUUGCUUCUAAGGGAACGGAGAAGGUGGUUGAGCCUGUUGAGGCAGUUGAGAUUGAAGAGAUGGACUUGGUUCUUCGUGAUGAAGAGGAGGCAUAAGAAAUGGAGGUUGUGACUCCAAAGGCAAAGAAAGCCAAGACUUCCACAAAGAAGUUUGUUUCAAAAACAAAGUCUGCAGAGCCCUCUACUUUGGCUAAAAGAACUAGGUCUGCAUUGAAAUCUAGAAUGUGAAAGUUGUGGAGGAAGAAGAAUGGAGUGGAGAAGAAGAAGAAGAAGAAGAAGAAGAAGAAGAAGAAGAAGAAGAAGAAGAAGAAGAAGAAGAAGAAGAAGAAGAAGAAGAAGAAGAAGAAGAAGAAGAAGAAGAAGAAGAAGAAGAAGAAGAAGAUGAUGAUGAUGAUGAUGAUGAUGAUGAUGAUGAUGAUGAUGAUGCUGAGAAAGACAAGAUGGCUAUGUUUAGGAAGAGAACCAUCUUGAAAGGUAGACUCCUCAUGGACUUGGAGAAGGAAGGUAGGGGUGGCAAAAUGGUUAAAAGAAAAUAGUUAACCACCCAUAUUUUCCACUAAAAAAUAGGUUGGAUAAUAAACUUUUUAAAAAAUGGGUCAAAAUAUGGAUAAGAACCAUAUUAUCUAUUUAGAAAAUGGAUAACCAAUGGGUCUAACUUUUACAUUUGUAAAGCCUCAAAUUAGGGGUUCCUCAAGUUAGGGAGACUAAGAAUUAUCCCAAAAGUGAUCAUGUGCUAGAAUUCAUGGAUAAUAUGGUUAACCCUAUUAUCUGUCGGUUAACCCAUUUUUUAUCCGUAUUAAAUAUGGGUCGAGUCAGAUAAUUGAUCUAUUUUUUUAUUACCCGUUUUCGACUCGAACCAUAUCCGACCCGACCGCUCGUUUUCCACUCCUAGAGGAAGGCAUAUUGAUGUUGCUGGAGAAGUUAUAAUUGUAGGGUUGGAAGAACAUGGUCCUUUAGAUUGAUGGGAAACUUGCAAGAACUAAGAUUGUGGAGUUCAUGGCAAAUUGUGAGAUCAAAAAUGGCAUAGUCACCAGUGUGGUGAAGGGGGUGACAGUGAGUUUUGAUGACAAGGAAUUGGGAGAGAUCUUAGGUGUACCUUCUGAAGGGUACAAUGAUUACAACAAGCUCAAAUGGACAAGUCUAGAGAACCUCCCUACCUCCCAUGCCAUUACAAGGAAGUUCGGUGACGAUGAAGAAGAACUUCAGCCCAAGGCCAUAAACAAAAGUGAUAUGAAGCCAACCCACAAAGUGUUGUUCGAAUUUGUUAACAAAGUUUUGCUGCCUAGGCAGGAAAGGAGGUACAUUGCCACAUUCAUGGACAUGGUCCUUAUGGAAUGUCUGGACAGUGGAAGGCAAAUCAAUUGGCUUGGAUUUAUUAUCCAGCUUCUUGAUAAUGUUCUAACUGGCACCAAAACUCAUGUCAUACCCUAUGGUUUUAUUCUCACGGUUGUACUUGCACACUUCAAAGUACCUAUCAAGAAAUGGAAAGUUUGUACAAGAAAGGAUCACUUUAGGGCAAGCACUAUGACUGCUUAUGAAUAUGAAGUCCACACCACCCCCAAAGAACCUCAUUCAUCCAAAAAAGUACCUGUGAAUAGCAAAGUGCGAGCUGUGGUGCAAGAAAGUGAGGCUAAAGAUGCUAAAAUUGAAAUGUUGAAAAUGAGGUUGCAAGAAGUAGAAACUGAGAGAGAUUCUCUCAGAGCUGAGCUGGCAAAUGAUAACGAGAUGAAUGAUGGCAUUCUUCAUGAUAUGCUAAAACUGCUCCAAGCCAAGAACAAAGAACCUAGUCCUUCAUAGCCUUAAGACCUCCUAGCCUAGUUAGACCAACCAGUGACCCGAAUAGGAUUUUUUUUAUUUCUUUUGCUCAUGAUCUAGUGUAUUUAUUUCUCUUUAUGCUUUGUGGAUGACUAGUAUCAAUGAUAAUCAACUAUUUUUGUGCUCUAACUAUUUGUUGAUGCUUCUUAGAUGGCUAAUAUCAUUAGAUUGAUAAAUGAGAUUUAACUUCAUGAUUUCAUUUGAAGUAGCUCAGGUGGCCAUGAGUAAUUUCUGUUAAACUCUGGUUAUUUAACAUAAUUAUGUAACUUUUUUAUGAUGCCAAAAAGGGGAAGAUAGGUUGUGCUUCUACUUUGGGACUGCGAUGUUUAUAACCUAAUGAACCUGGUCCUUAAUGAUUAGUGAUUUUAAAAUGAAAAGUGUUCUAACUUUGUGUUGAUGUUGAGCUGAGUUGAAACAGGGCUUAUGCUUAUGAAAAGCACAGAGUUUGUCAUCAUCAAAAAGGGGAUAUUUGUUGGCCCAAGUGAAGUUUGUUUUGAUGGUUGACAAAGAAACUCAACUAUGAACUAGGUCCAUAGACAUUGUACACAGUAACGGGCAAAUUCUAGCAUAAGGGAUGUACGUGAAGGAGACAACUUUAAGUUAUUAUAUCUAAUAUAUCUUGAUCGAAAAGGUUGCAUAAAUGAUAAGGAGAAUGACUCCUUACUAGAAGAGAAUUUAUGGGAGGAGUUAAAAGUUGAAAAUAACUAGAACUCUUCCACCAAGGAAGAGUAUAGCAUUGGAACUCUAGUUAUUUCCUAUUCUACUAACUCUAUAAAUUACAGGAUGUUCUCAUUUUAUAAGGACGCACAAAAGCUGAAGUUAAAUGUGAGUUGAGGGGAAAAUAGCAAGGCAUAUUGCAAGCAAUUCUUGUGUAAUUCAAGUGUGCGAACCUGAAGCUACAUGAACCAGAUAGAAGAACUAGUUCCAAGUGUCUGUCUUUUAUUCUAGUUUCAUUGUAGUAGGUGUUUUCAAAUUGUAUUUAGCUUUAUCUAGAAGUAAUUGUAUUAGGUACUCUGAGUAUUCAAGUUAGAGUUAACUUGACGUUGUCGAAACAGUUAGAGGCUGGUUGCCACAACGAGAUUAGAGGUAGUCCUUAGGUUUAUAAAGAAUUUUGUAAAUACUGUUUUGACUCAGUGAUUUAGUGAAGUGUUGGGAAAAAAUCCUACUGAGUAGUAGGUCGUGGUUUUUUCACCUUUUGAGACGGUCUUUUUUCACGUAAAAAUAUUUGUGUUCUUUACUUUUUGCAUUUAUUAUUUCCGCAAUAGUAGUAUAAGGAACACAUAGAAGAACCAGGUCCUUCUAUAAUCUGUGCACCACACAAAUCACUCACGCUCUUGUGUGGCAUUACAGUAUAAAACAUCACUGUUAUAGAAGUGUAAUGCUACAAAGAGCGUACUGCUAUAAAGAUGGAUAUUAUUGUUAUGGGUAAAAAGUUGUUAUAAAAAGAUAAAAUGUAACAUAAAAUAUUGGGUCCUAAAUUUUUGACUUUUAUAUUAAAUACUACUAGUCACUAUUGUGUAAAAAUACUAUUAUAAAAAGAUCUAAUUGUAUCGGAUCGAAUAAUAUAAUAAAAUUUAAAUAUAAACUAUUUUUAAAAGUAAAAGCAUAAAUAUAACCCCUCUUUUAAAAUCGUUUCAGCUACAAAGUUAACAAUACACACGCAUCUAUACAAAAAUUGUCUGGACGUGCUUUUAUUACAGUGCAUCUGCCCCAGGCCGGAAUGUCUUCUACUUCUGUCACAGUGGGAUGUAGCAAAUAGUGUCAUUUUUUGCAUUUGCACAUAUAUAAGACACAAUGCCGCGGCAAACCUUCGUCCUUUCUGCAUGCGUGGUUGUUGCCAAGUGUUUACUUCACGUGUUCACUUUGGAUCUAGCAGUGACAUCUUCUUAAUUCGGUUAUUUUGCUAUACUGGUUUGUUUGCUAUUUUGCUACUAUGAUUUAUGAAGACAAAUACCUGCCUCAUUAUGUUUCCCCUGUCACUAGCUCUCCGACCAAAUGGCUCAACGGAAAUAACACUCCAAUAAGCAUUUUUGGGUCUAUAGCAAACCCUGUAGUUUUGUCCUUAAUGUAAUCAUCGACAUGUUAGCCGAUCUCUCAUGUUUGAGUGAUAUGUGUCGUUUCAGUAAAGUUGGAUAUCAGCACUAACGAAAAUUUAAACGUCAUGAGUGUUGAAUUAAAAAAAAAAACAACUAUAUAUAUAAAUUUAAAUUUAACUUUGUUUGUACAAGAUUUUUACACAUAUUUGUUCAAUCUCAAAUUAUUGAAUUCAUCAGAACUCACCACGCUAUUGCUAGAAUUCUCCACUGCUAAAUUAUGCUCAAAGACUAGUGAGUUAAUACUUGAAUUUGUAUUGUAGUAAGAGAAAAAUGAAAACUUACUACUUCAAUUCUCCGCAUUCACCCACCCUUUUUUAAAUGCAUACGGUGCAAUAAUAUCUAAGCUGUAUGUGGUGUAAUGGAAAAAACAAAGGGGAUAGCGAUCAGCAAAAGCAUCAAUACUUAUCAACUCGCCGCAUAUUUCCGGUGCCAGCUACGUUCAUGUCGUUUACAAAUUGUCCGUACACCGUACUCACGUGACAUGCACGCAGUUACCUAGCUAGCCUUAUCACACUUCCACUUGUUCACUUCAUUUUCUUCUCCACGUUACUCUUCGUUCUCUUCAUUAUCAACACUUGUCAAUUUGCAUGCAUGCAUGCAAUGUCUCAAACUCAUCUUUCUCCACUAUAAAUCCCCACGAACAAAAUCCACUUCUCUUCGUCCCCAUCAACACUUCUCCAUCACAGUUCAAUAAUUAUGGCGAUUUUCACCAAAUCGAAGCUUUUGUUUCUCUUCUUCUUGAUCCUUUCUCUUUUCCUUGCUUCUCAAUGUGAUGAUGAAAACCCUUGGGGCCAAGAUCCGAGGCGCGAGCUCGAGAGUUGCUUAAGGCAAUGCCAGGUUCAGAAAGAAAGACAAGAAAGCCCUGAACAGCAACUCCAGUGUCAGAGAAGCUGUGUUUUGCGUUAUGAACGUCAACACAGGGAGAAAUCUGAAGAAGUGAUUGAGGACAUACCGACUCAUCACCGUGACCCCGAAAGAAUUUACAGAGAGUGCCAGGAACGUUGUCAGAGGCAAGAACAUGGACAGCAGAGACAGUGCCAACAACGUUGUGAGCAGGAGUAUCGGAGAGAACAACAACAACAACAUCGUGGCCACCAGACUGGAGAAGAUAAUCAAGGACGAGAAGGUAUGGUGAUUGUUAUACUCGAACUAUUUUAUUUUAUGUGAAACAGUAGAAAGAGUUUUUCUUUAUUACCGUUUAGCAAAUGCUUUUUAAAAGCAUUUUGAGUGUUCAAUUAGUGUGGCUUAUCUUAUUAAUUCACAUAGUUUUAUAUUAACUUUUUACAUAUUUUUAAUUAUGUAAAUUUUAAAAUUGGAAGUUUUAUGUCCUUAGAAAAAAGUUCACAAAUUUUAUGCCCUUAAAAAGUAAUCUUCUCCUCAAUUCAUGUAGCUAAUUGGGUGUUACCGUUUUUCUAGGAUUAUACGAGCUUUACUUUGAUCAUAAUUUAAUUAUAUGCAUUUUAAAUAUUUAAAAUUAUUAAUUAUUUUAACUUAUAUUCCUUCUUUCGUUGAGCGUAAAAUUGGUAUUUUUUUGGAACGGACCAAAAAGAUAAUAGUUUCACGUAAACUGAAACGGAACGGACCAAAAGAAAAAUAGUUUCACGUAAACUGAAACGGAACGGACCAAAAGAAAAAUAGUUUCACGUAAACUGAAACGGAACGGACCAAAAGAAAAAUAGUUUUUCGUAAACUGAAAUGGAGGGAAUAUUACUUUUGAUUAUAAGUUUAUUAUAUGCAUUUUACAUAUAUUUUAAAUUAUUUUAUUUAGCUUAUAUUACCUUUUAAUUAUAAGUUUGUUACAUGCCUUUUAAAUAUUUUAAAUUAUUAAUUAUUUUAACUUAUACUAUUAUUUUUUCUAUUGUCUUUAAAUAUAUAAAUUUUAUUUAAAAAAUUAUUAUAAUUUUGGGUCCAAAAUCACCGUCAAGGCACUAGAAAUCGGAUUGUGUCUUAGGAAAUAGUUAGUCUGUCUAGUAUAAAGUGGUACCAUGCAUGCAUGUCUCCUUUAUCUUAGCAUUUAGCAAUAGCAACAUAUACAUACGUGUAUGCGAAAAUAUUAAAUUUAUGAAACAUAUUUUCUUUUUGGUCAUUUCAAAAAGAAUGAUCACUGUCUAAAUUUGCUAACAAUUUAGCUUCAACUUACCCUUACCUUACCCUUAACGAGAAGCUUUUAUAACCACACAAAUACUCUGGCCCUUUUUGACUUGUUUAGGACUACAAAUUUCAAAAGUCUUUCAUUUUUUUUAAACUUCGUACCUAAUCAAAUAGGUUCACGUAAAUUUGAAUGGAGGAAUAACUAACACCACAAAUAAAUAAAUAAACUGCCUUUCUUAAAUUCUUUUUUAUUUAUUGUUUCUUGUCUAACAGGUCGUGAACCGGAGAGGAGAUUCAGAGAAUGCCAACAGAGAUGUCAAACACAAGAACAUGGUCAACAACAGAAACAAUGCCAACAACGUUGUGAGCAAGAGUACAGAAGAGAGCAAGAACAACAACGCCGCGGCCAAGGGGAGAUCAUAGAAGAAAAUCAAGGACGAGGCCAACGCGAACCUGAGGAGAGAUUUAGAGAGUGCCAACAGAGAUGCCAAAGACAAGAACAGGGCCAACAACAGAGACGGUGCCAACAACGUUGUGAGCAAGAAUACAGGAGAGAGCAAGAACAACAACGUGGUGGCUCGGAGGAGAUCCUAGAAGAAAAUCAAGGACGAGGCCAACGUGAGCCCGAUAGGAGAUUCAGAGAAUGCCAGCAGAGGUGCCAAAGACAAGAACAAGGCCAACAACAGAGACAGUGCCAACAACGUUGCGAGCAAGAAUACAGGAGAGAACAAGAACAACAACGAGGCCGCGAGG
rnacentral:lncRNA from 1 species